GAUGAACGCUGGCGGCGUGCCUAAUACAUGCAAGUCGAGCGAACAGACGAGGAGCUUGCUCCUCUGACGUUAGCGGCGGACGGGUGAGUAACACGUGGAUAACCUACCUAUAAGACUGGGAUAACUUCGGGAAACCGGAGCUACUACCGGAUAAUAUAUUGAACCGCAUGGUUCAAUAGUGAAAGACGGUUUUGCUGUCACUUAUAGAUGGAUCCGCGCCGCAUUAGCUAGUUGGUAAGGUAACGGCUUACCAAGGCGACGAUGCGUAGCCGACCUGAGAGGGUGAUCGGCCACACUGGAACUGAGACACGGUCCAGACUCCUACGGGAGGCAGCAGUAGGGAAUCUUCCGCAAUGGGCGAAAGCCUGACGUAGCAACGCCGCGUGAGUGAUGAAGGUCUUCGGAUCGUAAAACUCUGUUAUUAGGGAAGAACAAAUGUGUAAGUAACUAUGCACGUCUUGACGGUACCUAAUCAGAAAGCCACGGCUAACUACGUG
rnacentral:rRNA from 1 species